ensembl:lncRNA
CUCCAGCACACAAUGUGAUCCACCAGCAAGGAGGGACUCCAAUAAGGCGUCCGAUAAGAUAAGUCUUAUAAAAUAUAUAGGUUUAUGAUAGUUAAGACAGAGCUAACAGAUGAGAUCCUAGUCAUUGGCCAAGCAGCAUUGUACCUAAUACAAGUUUCUGUGUAUUCAUUUGGGCCUAACUCGGGCAGGCAGCUGAGCUCACUCGUGGCGGUGGGGCUUGGGCGGCUUUUGGCAGAAAGAUUUACUGUAACAGAUCCUGAAGUAUAUAAGAAAGUUAUCUGAUUCAAGAUACAGUCAGAAUGCAAUAGGUUACCCCGUAGAAUUCAUUCCAGUCUUUCACCUGUGGACAUAUUAUGCCUGACAGGGUUUGAGGAGGCUUCCAGUAUCCAGAAAAACAUGUUUAUAACAUCAAAGUUCCAGAUCAGCGAUCUGAGCUCAGAAAUUUCACAGGCUGCGUUUCACUGGAUAUUUGGUUUCAACAUGGAUUGUAAACCAUAGCACCUGAAAUGACUGAAACAUGUGAACCCACUGGCAAGCUGGUGAACACAGCAUCUGAGAUAUGAAGAGCACACUUGUGAACAGAACCUUGAGCCAAGAAGACAACAGGCCUUUGAGCUGCAUCAUGAGGCUGAAUGACACACACCUUUAAUCCAGACCUCCAGGCUGGAAGCCACACCUUUAAUCCUAGCCACACCUGCAGGAAGAACAAGGGAAGAAGGGUGUGUUCUUUCUUUGCCUGUUUGCCCUUGCCUUGCCAGCACAUCCUUUCCUUCACUGGCAUUGGAGCCUAAUUCUUCAGGAUUCCAACAUAUAUGGAAGACCAGCUGAGACGUCCAGCCUCAUGGAACUGAGCAACUAUAGGUUCUUGGCCUUUCCAUGCAGUCUCAGCCAACUGACUUCCCUAUUAGUCAUGGCUUCUCUCCAGCAGACAAAGGAUGCACUUGUUUUCUUGGAGGAGUUCAGGAGACCACUGUCCUCAGCACUGAUUUCCAUUUGUCAGCAAGCCCAGGAGCCUUCCAGGCUGUGGGUGGCAGAGCCUCAGAUUUUGCCUCUAGCAUGGAAUGUCUGAAGGGGGCUGGAUUGGAAAUCAGAAGGACUCCAUCCUAUCCAGCUCAGCUCUGUGAGCCACAAAUGCCUCCAAGCCUCAGAUCCCCCAAUUCCCACCCCAAAAGAGCUGCCUGCUCUCCAGGGUGAAUCUUCUCCCUACUUCCCUGGGGAGGGGGUAUUGGAAAGCUCCUUUGAGUUGGGUCUGCUCUCAUGACCUAGCUAUAAGUAUUUUUUGUGUCAAAAAGCAGCAGAAUCAUUCUCUUUGAUGUUUUGCUAUUUAUUAACUAGGAGGUAAAAUUGAGAUUAUUCCAAAACUUCAAAACCUUUUUAAUUUUGGAUGCAAAACAUAAUUUCCGUAAAUCUAUUAAUUUCCCUGAAUUGGGUCUAGCAAUUUAUUUUUUCUGGUCUGUUUAUGCUCCUGACCCCUUCCAAUCCCCUUUUAAGUCCUAGAAAGUCUAGCACCUUAAGGCCUCACAAAUCCCAUGACUUUUUUGCAAACACUCUUGAAGAUAUAAUCUUCAUAAUAAAAUUCAAUUUGAUUGUGUUAUUUAAUAUUGUCUGAAGGCAUCAUGGAUGACUUAUUGAUUUUUCAAAAUUAAAACUAAGAACAAAGAGAAACCCACCCAAUUGUUUGCAGCCCAC